rnacentral:rRNA from 1 species
UACGAGAGGCCCAAACGUUAUUCGGAUUUACUGGGCUUAAAGAGUUCGUAGGCGGCUUGGAAAGUGGGGUGUGAAAGCCCUCGGCUUAACCGAGGAAUUGCGCUCCAAACUGCCGAGCUUGAGGAGGCUAGUGGUGAGCAGAACUGAUGGUGGAGCGGUGAAAUGCGUUGAUAUCAUCAGGGAUACCGGAGGCGAAGGCGGCUCACUGGGACCUUUCUGACGCUGAGGUACGAAAGCUAGGGGAGCAAACGGG